CCUACGGGAGACAGCAGUAGGGAAUCUUUCACAAUGGGCGAGAGCCUGAUGCAGCCACGCCGCGUGCAGGAUGAAGGCCUUCGGGUUGUAAACUGCCUUUAUAAGCGAGAAAUAUGAAGGUAACUUAUCAAUACGGAACGGCUUACAACGUGCCAGCAGCCGCGGUCAUACGUAGGCUACGAGAAUUAUCCGGAGGGACAGGGUGUAAAGAGUUGCGUAAGUGGCGUAAUAAGUAGCUAGUGAAAUCUGGUGGCUCUACCAUUCAGACUAUUAGCUAAACUGUUAGGCUCGAGACCGUUAGGGGUAACUGGAAUUUCUAGUGUAGGAGUGAAAUGCGUAGAUAUUAGAAGGAACUCCGAUAGCGAAGGCAGGUUACUGGGACGGUUCUGACACUAAGGCACGAAAGCGUAGGGAGCAAACGGGAUUAGAUACCCGUGUAGUC
rnacentral:rRNA from 1 species